ensembl:lncRNA
AGAUUACUCACCACAGCAGUCAAUACAGUUUCUGCAGCCUCUUCUGCGUCUAAUGCUGAGAAUUGGGGAAAAUAUGACGUGAGAGUGGAUCACCUGGGAGAGCUGGUUCCUCUGACUGCAGGAGGAUUUGUGAAGCAGCUCUAAGGAGACUUUCCAUCCCAUCCCAGACACUGAACGAGCUAGUCCCUGACAAGCAGUUUGAAGUUGAUGAAAACCUGUCAUCAGGAAUCCUCAGAUUCAGGCCUUGUGGCGUUUGUUGCCGUGGGAGACUUAUCUGCAACUGUCUGCACAGUGUGAUGUACGGCAGGACUCGUCUGCAUGAGUUCUCCUACCACCUGUGCUCCCGCUGUGUGCUCCAGCUUUGGCCCAAAGAAGACCUGCUUUUCAUUUGCCUCACAGGAGUGGCCAGUGAAAGCAGCCGGUGCCUCUCCUGAACAAAGACACUGUCUGAAAGCAUCAGGCAGCAUGUUCACCUGUCUUGCAUUAGGAUUCAGUGAUCACCUAUUGACUCAGAGAGCACAGGAAGCGAAACAGUGACGCGCUGGACAGUCUAGAAUCACGAGCCGACGCUGAGGAAGCGGCCUGAUGAAGACGUAAAGUAAUAUCCCAGCAGCACAUGAGGAGACAAGCCUACAUGACUGCUCUGGGUGUAAUCCUGUGAGCUCGGAUGAAAACACGAUGGUCAGCUUGUGUUUUUCAAAGUGACACUGGCAUGAGGAGCUCAUUCAUUUUAAUGCCGAGACUCAUUCACUUGCCGGGUCAUGCUGGGCCACCCACAAAGCAAAAAUACUCCUGUAAAAAGCUGAGCAUCAAAAGUGUGAAGUUGAAC